CAUUUAGAGGAAGGAGAAGUCGUAACAAGGUUUCCGUAGGUGAACCUGCGGAAGGAUCMUUGUCGAAACCUGCAAAGCAGAACGACCCGCGAACUUGUUUAAACACUGGGGGGCGGYGCGGCCGGGGUGCUUCGGCCUCCGUCCGUGCGGCUCCCUCCUAUCCCCGGCGCGCGCGCUCGCGUGCGCGACGGGUGAUUAANKAACCCCGGCGCGGAAAGCGCCAAGGAAUACUAAAUUGAAAGCCUGCCUCUCGCGCCCCGUUCGCGGUGCGCGCGGAGGGCUUGUGCUUCUCUUGAAACACAAACGACUCUCGGCAACGGAUAUCUCGGCUCUCGCAUCGAUGAAGAACGUAGCGAAAUGCGAUACUUGGUGUGAAUUGCAGAAUCCCGUGAACCAUCGAGUCUUUGAACGCAAGUUGCGCCCGAAGCCAUUAGGCCGAGGGCACGUCUGCCUGGGCGUCACGCAUCGCGUCGCCCCCCGCACACCGCGCCCAUACUCAUGGUCGCGGUGGUGUCGCGGGGCGGAUACUGGCCUCCCGUGCGCCUCGAGCGUGCGGUUGGCCUAAAUGCGAGUCCACGGCGACGGACGUCACGACAAGUGGUGGUUGAAACUCAACUCUCGUAAUGUCGCGGCUCCAACCCGUCGCAUGUUUGGGCUCCCCGACCCUCAUUGCGCUUAGGCGCUCCGACCGCGACCCCAGGUCAGGCGGGACUACCCGCUGAGUUUAAGCAUAUC
rnacentral:rRNA from 1 species